AUGACAACCACUGAAGUGCUCCUGGGACACAUUAACAUCCAGAAGAGGAAUUCUGCUGAAAAUACACCAUCUAGUGGUGCCACCUGCUCGGCUUCUGAAAAAUAGUGUUAUUAAUUACAGAUGCUGUAUUAGUUUCCUAAGUCUGCUGUAACAAAUUACCACAAACUUGGUGACUUAAAACAACAGAAAUUUAUUCUCUCACGAUUCUGGAGACCAGAAGUUCAAAAUACAGCUGGGACCAAAGGCAUCUCUAGGGAAGGAUACAGUCCUUGCUUCUUCCAGCGUUCUGCACAAUCCACGACAGCAAGAAGACAAAGGCUUUGUUACAACAGAACAGAGCGGAGACAUCAGUGGCCGUCAGCUUCUUUAAAGCCAGUAAAUAAAGGUAAUUAGUCAAAGUCCAUAGAAUAGAAAAGGG